rnacentral:rRNA from 1 species
AAAACGGAGGAAAAGAAACCAACAGGGAUUGCCUCAGUAACGGCGAGUGAAGCGGCAAAAGCUCAAAUUUGAAAUCCCCCCGGGGAGUUGUAAUUUGAAGAUUGCGUCUUGGAGGCGACCGUGUCUAUGUUCCUUGGAACAGGACGUCACAGAGGGUGAGAAUCCCGUGCGGCACGGCCCCCGGCUCCUUAUAAGGCGCUCUCGACGAGUCGAGUUGUUUGGGAAUGCAGCUCAAAGUGGGUGGUAAAUUCCAUCUAAAGCUAAAUACAGGCGAGAGACCGAUAGCGAACAAGUACAGUGAUGGAAAGAUGAAAAGCACUUUGAAAAGAGAGUGAAACAGCACGUGAAAUUGUUGAAAGGGAAGGGCAUGCCGUCAGAUUGUCAGUGUGGGUAAGAAGCGGGGUACAAAGACUGUGGAACGUGGCCCUCGGGUGUUAUAGCCGCAGUUCAUGCCCCGUCUCUUUCCGAGGCCUGCUUUGAGGACACCGACGUAAUGACGGUACGCCGCCCGUCUUGAAAC